AUUGAACGCUGGCGGCAGGCUUAACACAUGCAAGUCGAGCGGAGCGAGGGUGCUUGCACCUUAGCUUAGCGGCGGACGGGUGAGUAAUGCUUAGGAAUCUGCCUAUUAGUGGGGGACAACAUUCCGAAAGGGAUGCUAAUACCGCAUACGCCCUACGGGGGAAAGCAGGGGAUCUUCGGACCUUGCGCUAAUAGAUGAGCCUAAGUCGGAUUAGCUAGUUGGUGGGGUAAAGGCCUACCAAGGCGACGAUCUGUAGCGGGUCUGAGAGGAUGAUCCGCCACACUGGGACUGAGACACGGCCCAGACUCCUACGGGAGGCAGCAGUGGGGAAUAUUGGACAAUGGGGGGAACCCUGAUCCAGCCAUGCCGCGUGUGUGAAGAAGGCCCUUUUGGUUGUAAAGCACUUUAAGCGAGGAGGAGGCGCUCUAGGAUAAUACCCUAG
rnacentral:rRNA from 1 species